rnacentral:rRNA from 1 species
UUAGCAUAUUAGUGAGCGGUGUGCAAGAAACUAAAAAGGAUUCUUGUAGUAAUUGCGAAUGAACAAGGAAAAGUUCAUAAUGAAAAUUGGGGCUUUGUGGUCUUGAAUUGUGUUUGACAGAUGCACUGCCAAUGGAAGCGUAGAUGGAAGCCAUUUGGAAAAAUGCAUUAAUGAUGGUGAGAGUCCUGUGUGUCAUUUACAGUUUUCUGUGCACGGUGUGCGUUCUAAGAUUCACGUUCCUUGGGAUUGGAACGCAAAGUGGGUGGUAGAUUUCAUUCAAAGCUAAAUAGUGGAUUGAGACCGAUAGUAAACAAGUACCAUGAGGGAAAGGUUAAAAGGACUUUGAAAAGAAAGUUAAACAGUGUCUGAAAUUGCUGAAAAGGAAGCAGAUGUAACCAAUUCGUUCUUUUCAAGAUUGUCAUGUACAAGCGUGAGUGCUGGCUGCAUCAACGCAAGUGUGGCAGCUGAUUCAAAUCUGAUUGUGCAUGGUGAUUCUUGCUUUGCGUGUCAAACAUCAUUUUGCAAUCAAGGAACACAUGGAUCAUAUGGACGUUUGCUUGCGUGUGAACAAAUGUUUUUUGUAGACAUCAAUUGUGGAUUGUCAUUGUGCGUGGAUGGUUUGGUUUUUGAUUGCGUUCUCACCGUGUGUGUGCGUGUAUCAAUAAACUUUGGUUUGACUCAAAAACAUGACAANNNNNNNNNNNNNNNNNNNNNNNNNNNNNNNNGACCAAGGAGUCUAACACAUGUGCAAAUUCUUGGGUGUGCAAGCCUGUUUGUGAAAUAAAAGUGAUUUGCUGUCACAUAUGCAACAGCAACUAACCGAUCAAUUGUGAGAGGUUUGAGUAUCAGCAUAUUUGUUAAGACCCGAAAGAUGGUGAACUAUGCCUGAGAAGGGUAAAUUCAGGGGAAACUCUGAUGGAAGCUCGUAGCGAUACUGACGUGCAAAUCGUUCGUCGUACUUGGGUAUAGGGGCGAAAGACUAAUCGAACCAUCUAGUAGCUGGUUCCCUCUGAAGUUUCCCUCAGGAUAGCUGGAAUUGCACAGUUUUAUCAUGUAAAGCGAAUGAUUAAAGGAAUCGGGGAUGUGUUGUCUUCGACCUAUUCUCAAACUUUAAAUGGGUACGAUCCAGUGGUUGCUUUUGUGAACUUCGGGGAUAAAUGACAAUUCUAAGUGGGCCAUUUUUGGUAAGCAGAACUGGCGAUGAGGGAUGAACCUGACAUUGUGUUGAAGUGCUCAAUUGCUCGCUCAUCAGGUACCAUAAAGGGUGUUGGUUCAUUUAAACAGCAGGACGGUGGUCAUGGAAGUCGAAACCCGCUAAGGAGUGUGUAACAACUCACCUGCCGAAUGGACUGGCCCCGAAAAUGGAUGGCACUCAAGCGAGUGACUGAUACACAAUCAUUGAUGUAAUUUUACACAUCUGUGAGUAGGAGGGCAUGGGGGUUCGUUGUGCAACUUUAGGUGCAAACC